rnacentral:lncRNA from 10 species
AGAGGGUGGGUGUCUGACAUGCUGAGGGGGCAGGGGCAGGGCCUGGAGAAUAAGAGUGGCACCUCUCAAGCCCAGGCUCAAGCUCAAGGACAGAGCCCAGGCUCAGGUAGAGAGGAACCACAAGGACGGGCCACCAUCGGCACUGCGCUGAGACCCAGGCACUAUAGAAUUCAGAAGAUAGGAGUCUAGCAGCCUCCAGACAGGGCAAGGAGGGGACAGAGAAAGAUGUGGGUGCAGGA